AACGUAGGAGACAAACGUUAUCCGGAGUUACUGGGCGUAAAGGGCGUGUAGGCGGUUAGUUAAGUCUGGCGUGAAAGCUCUCGGCUAAACCGGGAGAGGUCGUUGGAUACUGGCUGACUAGAGGACGGUAGAGGCGUGUGGAAUUCCGGGUAUAGUGGUGAAAUGCGUAGAGAUCCGGAGGAACACCAGUGGCGAAGGCGACACGCUGGGCCGUACCUGACGCUAAAGCGCGACAGCAUGGGGAGCAAACGGG
rnacentral:rRNA from 1 species